GGCAAGAUGGCCGAGUUGGUUAUGGCGUGAGGUUAAGGUCACCUUAGCACGAUUUCCUCAUGGAGCAAUCCGCGUGGGUUCAAGUCCCACUCUUGUCA
rnacentral:tRNA from 1 species